UGCGGUCGUGGUGGAACGGCAGACACACCAUCUUGAGGGGGUGGCGUCCUAUGGACGUGAGGGUUCAAAUCCCUCCGACCGCAUCC
rnacentral:tRNA from 1 species